rnacentral:tRNA from 1 species
GGAGUUGUGGCUCAGCGGUAGAGUGCUCGCCUGGCAUGUGUGAGGCCCUGGGUUUGAUCCUCAGCACCA